GUUAGUUGCCAUCAUUCAGUUGGGCACUCUAGCGAGACUGCCGGUAAUAAACCGGAGGAAGGUGGGGAUGACGUCAAAUCAUCAUGCCCUUAUGACCUGGGCUACACACGUGCUACAAUGGUUGGUACAACGAGUUGCGAGUCGGUGACGGCGAGCUAAUCUCUUAAAGCCAAUCUCAGUUCGGAUUGUAGGCUGCAACUCGCCUACAUGAAGUCGGAAUCGCUAGUAAUCGCGGAUCAGCACGCCGCGGUGAAUACGUUCCCGGGCCUU
rnacentral:rRNA from 1 species